rnacentral:rRNA from 1 species
UUCGAUUAAGCCAUGCGAGUUAAUGUUCUUCGUGAACAUAGCAGACUGCUCAGUAACACGUGGAUAACCUGCCCUUAGGACUGGCAUAACCCCGGGAAACUGGGGAUAAUUCCGGAUAGAUCAUAAAUGCUGGAAUGCUUUAUGAUUGAAAGGUUUCGACCGCCUUAGGAUGGAUCUGCGGCCUAUCAGGUUGUAGUGGGUGUAAUGUACCUACUAGCCUACGACGGGUACGGGUUGUGGAAGCAAGAGCCCGGAGAUGGAUUCUGAGACAUGAAUCCAGGCCCUACGGGGCGCAGCAGGCGCGAAAACUUUACAAUGCGGGAAACCGUGAUAAGGGAACACUGAGUGCUAGCAUUUAUGUUAGCUGUCCACAUGUGUAAAUAGCAUGUGAUAGCAAGGGCUGGGCAAGACCGGUGCCAGCCGCCGCGGUAACACCGGCAGCCCGAGUGGUGAUCACUAUUAUUGGGUCUAAAGGGUCCGUAGCCGGUUUAAUCAGUCUUCUGGGAAAUCUAAUCGCUUAACUAUUAGGCUUCCAGGGGAUACUGUUAGACUUGGGACCGGGAGAGGUAAGAGGUACUGCAGGGGUAGGAGUGAAAUCUUGUAAUCCCUGUGAGACCACCAGUGGCGAAGGCGUCUUACCAGAACGGGUCCGACGGUGAGGGACGAAAGCUGGGGGCACGAACCGGAUUAGAUACCCGGGUAGUCCCAGCUGUAAACGAUGCUCGUUAGGUGUCAGGAACGGUGCGACUGUUUCUGGUGCCGAA